CUAAGCGAAAGACAUGAGGCCUCAGCCUGACAUGAGGUGAUUUUGAGGUCAUCCGAUUUCUGGCUAGAAGUGUGCUGUCACCUGGUCCUGAAACCACUUCACACAGAAUGGUUUGCAAUUUUUUUUGGUGAUGGCAUGUUCAGAAUCUUAGAUCCCUAAGUUCAAUAUGUUGGAAAUAUUUAGAAAUCUUGGAAAUUAUAUGAUUACUUAGUAGGUGAAACAGUAAAUAAUAAAAGUAUACAAAAGAACUUUGUCCUUUUAAGUUGGCUGCAUGUUUUAAAUUGUUAGCUGUCAGUAUUAGUGUCAUACUCUUUUGAAGGUUUGGGAAUCUUAGGGAUUUCAUAUUUUCCCAGGUAGUUAUGUAAUUUCUCCCAUGCCUGUUCAGUUAGCUUGUUUUCUUUUCUGUGCUUUGCAGUGUGUGUUACUUAGACCAGAGUAAUUAUUGAUCAGAAAUAAAGAAGAGGGAAAAACAAUCAUCAGGUGACAAUCCAAAGGUGGUGAUUACAAAAUUUCAACUUGGAAACAGUUUAUAUUAGAAUUUGCAAAUUCUACCCAAAUUAUAUCCGAAUACACUUGUGAUAAAAUGCUACCAGUUAUUAUAUAAGACAGAGAUGCUAACGAGGAAGGAAAAGAGCCGUUCAUUUUCACCUCCUUGCUUCCCCCUUCUCUCUUAUCAGAUGAAUGAAUUGUAUAGUAGCUAAAAGGUAGGUGGUGUGAAUAAAAAGGAAAAGAAGGGAAACACCUCUGGUCUCUAAGAAGGAUCAAUUUUCCUCCAGAGUUGGAAGGUCACCUUCUUCCAUGUACCUGAACAGUUUCCAGCUGUGGACUACUCAGUAAGCCUGGACUGUGGCCAGGGGUGACUUUGACCUGGGAUGGGCGGAGUGCUAGUAUUGCACAGUGGUAGACAGCCCUUGAGGAGCUGUUGUGCCCAUCUCUUCCCGGCC